UACGUAGGGUGCAAGCGUUAAUCGGAAUUACUGGGCGUAAAGCGUGCGCAGGCGGUUUGUUAAGACAGAUGUGAAAUCCCCGGGCUUAACCUUGGAACUGCAUUUGUGACUGCAUAGCUAGAGUACGGUAGAGGGGGAUGGAAUUCGCGUGUAGCAGUGAAAUGCGUAGAUAUGCGGAGGAACACCGAUGGCGAAGGCAAUCCCCUGGACCUGUACUGACGCUCAUGCACCGAAAGCGUGGGGAGCAAACAGG
rnacentral:rRNA from 1 species